CAGAAUCAAAAGCACCUUUGCUGGUCCCAGAAGAGAUCUCUCUUCCCACCAAGGACAGAGGCCUCCCAGCUCAGCUGGACCUCACUAAGUCACAUCUCCAUGCAGAGGACCUCCAAUUGAGAUUCAUUUACGAUGCCAUCUUGAGCAAACAGGGUCUUUUUACCAGCAAUCUUAUGUAGAAAAGCUGUUUCUACAAGUGAUAUUAUUAACAUCCCAGCCAAGCAGCCCUGUGGGUUGACCUUCACUUGCCGGUUGAGAGGAGACUGCUGAGUCCUGCAUAUUUACCAGCUGUUCUGUUGAAAACGGUUGCAUAUUUGGAAAGGAAAUGAAGCAGAUUGGUCCGAGGUUUCAGGAUGAAGUUGAAGCAGGGAGAGUUUAAGCCUCUCUUGCCGACGGCUGAGGACCCGGGGCUUCAGUGGAAAGCUGGCAGCUUGUCGCCCGUGAAGCACCUUCUUCACCUCGGAUGAGAGCUGGGGGGCAAUGGAGCUGAAGAAGGUGUGCAGCCUGGUCUCCUCGAAGGAAAGGAAGAGCUCGCUGGUCACGAUGCAGCAAGGAUACCCAGGAGCAGCUGAGUAACUCUUUUUUUUUUUCUUUUUGUAUUCAUACAAGGAUGUUUAUUAUGGCAUUGUUCAUAGUGACAAAAAAUGAGAAGCAAAGUGAACGUUCAUGAAUGGUUGAAUAGAUUACCCCCAUACACACACUACUAAAUGUGAUAUAGCCAUUAAAUAUAUAGAACUCAUAGAGCAUUA